rnacentral:tRNA from 1 species
GGCGCCAUGGCUUAGUUGGUUAAAGCCCCUGUCUAGUAAACAGGAGGUCGUGAGAUCGAAUCUCGCCGGUGCCU